rnacentral:lncRNA from 1 species
UUUUAAAAAAGUUCAAUAAGUAGUUGAAACGGAUAACGGAUUGAAGACGGAUAAUAGUAUCCGGCCAAACCCUAAUUGGUCUUAUCAAGUUGAAGACGGAUAACAAUGUGGGCUACUGUGCAAAGGGAAAAAAGCAGCAAAAGAAGAAGAAAAGAAAGUGUCAAUCUGAUUCGGAUUCAAUCACUCAAUCCUCGUUGGUUUCCUAAACAACGUGAAAACAAAACACAGCUUAGAUGUCAACGUUAUUUACAUUCGAACCAUUAAGGGCCAAAUGGGGAUAUUAUCGUAAAUCAACACAUGGUUACUACUUUAGUGACAAUCCUAAUGAUGCUUUGUCCCUUGGAGGUCUUGAGAGGCCACCCCUGACCUGCGUGGUGCCCUUUUAAUAUCAAUACAUUAUCGCCACCCUGACCUGCGUAGUGCCCUUUUAAUAUCAAUACAUUACCGAUAAUGUGUGCUUACAUGUUUUAUAUUAUCGUUGUUUGGUCAAAUUUUUAAUAUAAUAAUGACUUCUUUUUUUAACUAUUAUAAAUUUUACUAUAUCUAAUCUGUACAUGCAUGUUGCAUUUCCAAUGAUGUUUGUUCCAUUUUUAUGUCUUUUUCUAAGACUUUUUAGUAAGAAAAGGAUAACUCUAAUGAUCUUUUUGUAAUUAAAGUAAGAAGAUUGAUUCAAUUAAUCUUAUCUAGCUAGAUGACUUUUAUAUGGAUAUAGUCUUGGAGAUCGUGUGUAGAAGUUUGGUUUUUUGACCAAUGCAUUACAAUUGUUUUAUUUUUUUGCCAACGGAUUAAUAUAUAUGAUCGUUGUGUCUUAAAACGUUACUUGCACUUUGUAAAGAUGUGACUUGUACUUGGUAUGUUUUGUUACCAUGAAACAACUUGUCAAUAUUUGUUUUUUAUUCUUAUUUUUUUUUGUUUUGUAUAAUAGGGAAACACUUUGAUAUAACUUACCAAAUCAUAUAUUUUCAACAAUCAAUAUAGCUAAUUGAACUAUAGAUUGAUAUAUCUUUUAAAAAUACAUAAAUUAUUAGAUUCGGCCCAAUUUGAGAUCGUGGGAGAAAAAUCACGAGUUCGCGUAACAGUUCCGGAUUUCUCCCCUACGAUAUUAUUUAUAUCAAGUUCGUAGAUUCUGUUAUCGAGUGUUGCGAUACCGAUUUUAUAGUGAUUGUAUCCUGCGAUCCGUUGCUCAUAGCUAGUUUGGAUUACGGAAAAAUAUAUUAUAUCUCGCCUUCACUCGUUUUCUAAAAUCAUUUUUCCAAAUCAUUUUCUAAAUUUUUUUUUUUCUGUUUUCAAAUCGGGAUUUCUCGAUCUUACAUAACAUUGUUCACGGAAAAAGUUUAUAUAACUUUGAGCAUGCUACAUGCAAUGUUAAUAAAUAUGUACGUUGUAAUUUAUCUAUAACAUUUACAUUUUAUAUUGUGAAAAUUUAAUGAUUUUGUACCGUAAUUGAGUUUUUCUUAGAGUCAUGCUUACGGAAAGUCUGAUUCAUUUUGGAUAAACUCGUAAACGAUAGCUCAAUUUAAAACUAACCAAAAUGUCAAUUUUUAUAAGUAAUAAAAAAGGUGACCCGUACCAAUAUACGACCUAGACAGAGUAGGUUUGAUGAGAUCUCAUAAUCCUAGCAUUACCUUUGGAUUGGAUUAAGGAUUAAAUUAUUUCAUUUGUUUCAGCCGAAAAGAAAAUGGUCCACCACAUUAUCUAGUCAUCAUCUCAUCUACCAAACCCUAUAAUAAAAGAAGAUGAUAAGAGGAUUAAGGGUAAUAAUGUCAUUUCUAUCGACUCCCUUUAUUAUUAUUAUUUUAUUGCCAAAAUUAGAAAAAUUGAUCGUUAGAAAACGUGUAUAUGUGCAUUUGGUAUUAUCUCAUUUUUUUUCUUCUCUCUCAUUUAAUUUUCUUCUCUCUAUCCAAACUCAAAUGUCCCCAGAGAGUCUCGAGUCCUUAUCGUGAACUUUUUUGUUCCUUUAUCUGUUCCACGAAGAAGACAAUUUGAAGUUUUCUGUUGAAGUUUCUCGCCGGCGAUUUAGUGAUUUUCAGACAAGUUGAGUAGCAAAGUUUGCUUUUUUUCCUUUUGGUGCUGCUUGGGUUUUGUGGAAAAGUUGAGUUUUGAACUGUUUCAUUCAUGGGUACAGAUUUAAUUGGUGUGAAAACGGUUCUUGAGCUGUUUUUUAGGAUCGAUAUGUGGCCAGGAUCUCAAUUUUGUGCUUGAUUUGGUCUCGUUUUUGUUAUGUUUGUUUUCUGAAUCAUCUUUUGGUGGCAUUGUUUGUUUUGGUGAUUCUAUAGACUCGUGUUUUAAGAUCAUUGUUUCAUGAGUUUGGUGAUGUUAAUUUUAAUGGAAUGGGUUUGUUUUAUUUUUAGGUAUUUGAAGCUUGGAAGUGUUUAGACGUGUGUUGGAUUUGUAAAAAUCCAACCUUUGGCUUGCUUCUCUCUAUGGUGUCAAGAUCUUGUGCAAAUUUUAUAGAUUUAGCAUCUUGGGACUUAUUGGACUUUCCUCAAACUCAAAGAGCUCUUCCUCGUGUCAUGACUGUUCCUGGUAUCAUCUCUGAGUUGGAUGGAGGCUACAGUGAUGGAUCCUCUGAUGUUAAUUCCUCAAGCAGCUCCCGUGAGCGGAAGAUUAUAGUGGCUAAUAUGUUACCAUUACAAGCUAAGAGAGAUACAGAGAGUGGUCAAUGGUGUUUUAGUUGGGAUGAAGAUUCUCUUCUCUUGCAACUCAGAGAUGGGUUUUCUUCGGAUACGGAGUUUGUUUAUAUAGGAUCACUUAAUGCUGAUAUUGGUACGAGUGAACAAGAAGAAGUUUCUCACAAGCUUUUGUUGGAUUUCAAUUGUGUUCCUACGUUUUUACCCAAGGAGAUGCAAGAAAAGUUCUAUCUUGGUUUCUGUAAACACCAUUUGUGGCCGCUCUUUCACUAUAUGCUUCCUAUGUUCCCUGACCACGGUGAUCGUUUUGACCGGCGUCUUUGGCAAGCGUAUGUCUCUGCAAACAAGAUAUUUUCAGAUAGGGUGAUGGAAGUCAUCAACCCUGAGGAAGAUUAUGUUUGGAUUCAUGAUUAUCAUCUGAUGGUUCUUCCCACAUUCUUGAGGAAACGGUUUAACAGGAUCAAGCUUGGAUUUUUCCUUCACAGUCCAUUUCCAUCGUCAGAAAUCUACCGCACUUUGCCAGUGAGGGAUGAUCUUCUGAGAGGAUUGUUGAACUGUGAUCUCAUUGGUUUCCACACAUUUGAUUAUGCACGUCAUUUUUUGUCAUGCUGCAGUAGAAUGCUUGGCCUUGAUUAUGAAUCUAAGCGUGGGCACAUUGGGCUUGAUUACUUUGGUCGAACGGUGUUUAUUAAGAUCCUUCCUGUUGGCAUCCAUAUGGGGAGGCUGGAAUCGGUUUUGAAUCUUCCGUCGACUGCAGCGAAAAUGAAAGAGAUACAAGAACAGUUCAAGGGGAAAAAGUUGAUUCUCGGUGUCGACGACAUGGACAUCUUUAAAGGCAUAAGCCUCAAACUUAUAGCCAUGGAACGUCUCUUUGAGACAUAUUGGCAUAUGCGAGGAAAACUUGUCCUGAUUCAGAUAGUGAACCCAGCUCGGGCCACAGGUAAGGAUGUGGAAGAAGCAAAGAGGGAGACAUAUUCAACUGUAAAAAGGAUUAACGAGCGCUAUGGUUCUGCUGGUUAUCAGCCAGUGAUCUUGAUUGAUCGUCUUGUUCCACGUUAUGAGAAGACUGCCUAUUAUGCAAUGGCAGACUGCUGCCUGGUGAAUGCAGUAAGAGAUGGCAUGAACUUAGUUCCAUAUAAAUAUAUCAUUUGCAGGCAAGGGACCCCAGGAAUGGAUAAGGCCAUGGGCAUUAGCCAUGACUCACCCCGGACGAGCAUGCUUGUCGUCUCUGAGUUUAUCGGCUGCUCGCCUUCAUUGAGUGGUGCGAUCAGGGUGAACCCAUGGGAUGUAGAUGCUGUUUCAGAAGCGGUAAACUUAGCCCUCACCAUGGGUGAAACUGAAAAGCGAUUAAGGCACGAGAAACACUAUCACUAUGUCAGUACUCAUGAUGUGGGUUACUGGGCAAAGAGCUUUAUGCAGGAUCUGGAGAGGGCAUGCCGGGAACAUUAUAAUAAACGUUGUUGGGGUAUUGGUUUUGGCUUGAGUUUCAGAGUUUUGUCACUAUCUCCGAGUUUUAGGAAGCUAUCUAUCGAUCACAUUGUCUCGACGUACAGAACUACACAGAGAAGGGCAAUAUUUUUGGAUUAUGACGGCACUCUCGUUCCUGAGAGCUCCAUUAUCAAAACCCCUAAUGCUGAAGUCCUGUCUGUUCUGAAAUCUCUGUGUGGAGAUCCUAAAAACACUGUGUUUGUCGUCAGUGGAAGAGGAUGGGAGUCUCUGAGCGACUGGCUAUCUCCAUGUGAAAAUCUUGGAAUCGCAGCUGAACACGGAUACUUCAUAAGGUAUGAAUGCUUGUAACUGUUUCUCUUAGUUACGGUUUCUAACAAGAAUUUGUACAAACUAAGACCCAUUCUAUAUUUGGAUUCAGGUGGAGUAGCAAGAGAGAGUGGGAGACUUGUUACUCGUCGGCUGAGGCGGAAUGGAAGACGAUGGUAGAACCGGUAAUGAGAUCAUACAUGGACGCAACGGAUGGUUCUACUAUAGAGUUCAAAGAGAGUGCUUUGGUUUGGCAUCAUCAAGAAGCGGAUCCGGACUUUGGAGCCUGUCAAGCAAAGGAGCUUCUGGAUCAUCUAGAGAGUGUACUUGCAAAUGAGCCUGUUGUCGUCAAGAGAGGCCAACACAUUGUAGAGGUCAAACCACAGGUACAUCAGAUAUCUAUAUAAUCUUUUUCUUUUACUUGCAUCUGAGAAUCUAUCAAGAACUCAUACCAUCUUAUGUGAUCGAAUCUAUUCUUUGUAUUGAUGCAGGGAGUGAGCAAAGGUCUAGCCGUGGAAAAGGUGAUACACCGAAUGGUAGAGGAUGGAAACCCACCGGACAUGGUAAUGUGUAUAGGAGAUGACAGAUCAGACGAGGACAUGUUUGAGAGCAUAUUGAGCACAGUGACAAACCCGGACCUCCCAAUGCCACCAGAGAUCUUUGCUUGCACGGUGGGAAGAAAACCAAGCAAAGCCAAGUACUUCUUAGAUGAUGUCUCAGAUGUAUUGAAGCUCCUAGGAGGAUUAGCUGCUGCCUCGAGCAGCAGGAAGCCAGAGGAUCAACAACAAUCCUCCUCAUUGCACACGCAAGUGGCGUUUGAGAGCAUCAUCUGAUAACAAAAAAUGAUUAUUCCAAGUGUGUCAGUGUGAGUAACCAUAACCAACAUGGGAAAGGGUUUGUAUAUGAAGAAGGUUUACCACGAUGGGGACUGGUCUGUGUGAUAUAUUUAUUUUCAAACGCUUGAGAGGUGUCUUUUCUUCAAUCUCUCUCACUGUUGUUUUCUUGUUUCUUUAGAAUUGCAGUUUUUACCUCUUUGUAUAGAAGAAAGUCUCUGGUGGUUUGUAAUUUACACGGACUCGGAGUAACCAAAUGGACAAGUUGGUUUUGUAAUUCUUUAAGCAGAAGCCACAUAAUGUUAAUAAAAAGAAAAAAGGAAAAAAAAAAAAACUAAUCUUGUGGAGCCAUUUGUGCUCAUUUACUUAGUUUUGAGGUCUUAAAACAAAACAAAUAUGACACACAUAUUCCAGUAACAGUUAUAUAUGUGUAAAAUAUCUUAAACAAUAGUUUACAUUAAUUAUUCACUGAUUAAAAAUCUUAAAUUAAUCAGCAAAACCUUAAUAAUCUUUUUAAUUGUUGCGCCGACGUUUAUGGCAUGACCAAUGUGUCACUUUUCUACGCCUCUCUCUUUUUUGUUUUUGUUGCUUUCUCUUCUUCAACCUUUCUCCUUCCUUUUUUCACAGAUUGUCACUACUACUUCAUUCAACAUUUCAAACCACCUCUGUUUCCUCCAAAAACAUAACCUUCUUUCUUCUCCAUCGCAGCCAUUCCUCUGUUUUUAGAUAUGAACUAGGGUUUUUUUUCUUCUUUCCAUUUCUCACUUCGCUAAUCGUUUCUCCUCAACUUUAGUGAUGAGUAGGCAUUUUCUGUUUCUGGGUAUUAUCAUUCUCAUCCUCUCUGGGUUUGUAGCUUCAGCUCCUUCACCAGCGAGUUAGUUUCACCCUGUUUUUUUUUUUUUUUUUUUGGAUAUGGGUUUGAUCUUUCUAUAAUCUUAACAAGCUUACAUUUGAUUCUUCUUGCAGAGAUUGUUAAUAGUUUCAUCUCGAAUCAUGGCACUUCCUUAAUGAAAUGGUUAUGGUCUCUCUCUUUCAAAACCACCACUAUAACAGGUUUUGAUUACUCUCUUCGCCGAUUAUAGGUUGUAAUCAGAUAGUUUGAUUCUCCUGGGUUUUUGAUCUCUGGGUUUUUUUUUUGUUCUAAUCACUAAUCAGCUGUUUCUACGAAAUCGAUGGUGAAAUUUGAAAAUGGGUAUUCAGUGGAAACGGUGUUAGACGGAAGCAAACUCGGUAUCGAACCUUAUUCUCUUCAGGUCUUACCUAAUGGCGAAUUACUUAUUCUGGAUUCUCAGAAUAGUAACAUUUACAAGAUUUCAUCUUCUCUUUCCCUUUGUAAGUAUUAUAUUGUACUAUUGAUUUUGGUGGAUUUCAAUAUUUGCUGAUCUUUUUAGGAUUUUGAAAUACGGAUGAUGAUGAAGUCAAGCUUUUUCCUUUUUCUCUGCUUUCACGUGAUAAAGAAACUAUUUGCUUACCUAAUCGUAGUGCUCUUAUGUACUGUACAGUUUGCUGUAUAUGGAAAUACAGAGAUUUUAGGUUUAUGAACUUUGAAAAUCAGGAGAAUUUCUGAUGUUUUUUCUUUUUUUUUUGAGAAUUUAAAUUAAAUGAAAAUGGUCAAGAAUACUGCAUUGAAUGUUUUAAAUGCAGCAGUUAACAUUAGACGCCUGUUGCAUUUUGAUUGUGGACUGUAUGUAUAUUUAGCUCAAUAUGAUAUUGUUCAUAGAAAGCAAGUAGUAGGUGAAUUCUUGAAUAAUAGAUUGUAACUCUUGGAACAAUGGCAGAUAGCAGACCGAGGCUGAUUACUGGCUCCCCUGAAGGAUAUCCGGGUCAUGUGGACGGUAGAUUGAGAGACGCGAGAUUGAACAAUCCUAAGGGACUCACGGUUGAUGAUAGAGGAAAUAUCUAUGUUGCAGAUACUGUGAAUAAUGCUAUCAGGAAGAUCAGUGAAGCAGGUACUUUUUUUUCUGCUGUUUUAUGGUUUUGCCUUUUGGAAAAAUGUUUGGUAAGAAUCGGAUUUUUUAAGAAAGAAUAAAAUGCAAUGGCAGGAGUCACAACCAUUGCUGGGGGAAAAAUGGUUCAUGGGGGAGGUCAUGUGGAUGGUCCAAGUGAAGAUGCAAAGUUUUCAAAUGAUUUUGAUGUUGUUUAUCUCGGAAGCAGUUGUUCCUUGCUAGUCAUUGACCGCGGGAACCAAGCCAUCAGAGAGAUUCAACUCCAUUUCGACGACUGUGCUGAUCAGUAUGGAAGUGGCUUUCCUCUUGGUAAUAUUUACAUACCAAAGUCCUCGAUUUGUUGCCCAUCUUGCAUUCUUCAGUCAUCUCUAUCUCCGUUACUCUUCAAUGUAUAUCUCUGAUUCAAUGCUUUAAUAUUGCAGGGAUUGCAGUUCUUGUAGCGGCAAUUUUCUUUGGCUAUAUGCUGGCUUUGUUGCAACGUAGACUCAGUUCUAUCAUUUCAUAUCAUACUGUGAGUGUAUAUUCGCAUCGUAACAUCAUUCUCUUAUGCUACCCUAUAAUUGAGUUAUAACCGACAUUUCUGCCUAUUGUGUAUAUGUUAGGAUCAAGAAGUAUUUGAAGCUGUGCCUGAUCAAGAUCCUAUAAAACCGGUCAGACCACCGCUGAUUCCAACUGGAGACGAGCAAGAAAAACAAGAAGAAAGCUUCCUUGGAACGUUGCAGAUAUUCAUUUCGAAUGUUUGGGUGUUUUCUGUGGAGCUGUUCAGUGGAAUGUUUCCUGGUCUCAGAAAGAAACAGACAGUCGGCUUCAACUUCAACCAUCAAGAAACAAAGCAUUCUGCCUUUAGCACAACUUCAUGGCCAAUUCAAGAGAGCUUUGUAAUACACAACAAAGAUGAACCACCUCCCAUCGAGUCCAGGAACCCCACUCCCGGAAAAAUUUAUCCUUUCAUGUCCAAAGAUGCAGCAGAGAAAAUGCAACAGCUGCGCCAAAGCCGUGCCUUGUACAGAAGCUUAGAUGCCGAAUUCCUCCAGGAGCAGCAGCAACAGAAGCAUCAGCAGCAUCACCGUAGGCAUCACGCAACGAUCCCACACACUGUUUAUGAGCGGAGCAGCGAGAAGAGUAAUGAGAUUGUGUUUGGGCCGGGCCAGGAGCAAGACCACAGGCGUGUGGCAGCAGCAGCUACUGCUAAGUCGACAGAGUUUGGAGAACAGAUGAAUACACAUCAGAAUAUCCACUACAGAGCUCACCAAUUUGUGAGUUACCCAUAUGGAUACUAUUCAUAGACGUGAGAAGUUGCUUAAUACGAUAGUUGUAGCAAUUGGGAAUUCAGGUAUAGCUGUUUUGAGAUUUGUUGAGAAGGCACAUUAGGGAUUUGGGUAUUUAGAUCUCUCUUGUAAGAAAAGUACCAAAUUAUUCUUCCAUGGUAUAAAGAAAAAAAGAUAAGCACUUCAAUAAAAGAAGAUUUUCCAACUCAACCAAACUUUGAAUGUCAAACAUUACAUUUACAAAAGAUACAUACUCUCUGCUUCAUGUGCUUUUAACUGAAACCUACUCAGUAGAUGAAGAACCAUGAGUUGCAGCAUCUUUUUCAGCCAUCUUUGAAAAUCCUUCAACAUGAACCUUUAUAAUGUCAUCUAUGGUUGCAUGAGGAAGAGUCUCUUCAUUACUGCAAUCUUUGUCAGGUUCUUGUUCAUCAUCAAAGCUUAUUAGGUCCAUAUGAUCAUCAGAGGGUUUCAGUGAAAGCGGCGGCUUUGGGUUGCCGCAACCUGGACUCUUGGGAUCAGAUACAGAGCAU